GGGCUCGCGUACCAUUAGCUUGUUGGUAGGGUAACGGCUUACCAAGGCUACGAUGGUUAGCUGGUUUGAGAGGAUGAUCAGCCACACUGGAACUGAAACACGGUCCAGACUCCUACGGGAGGCAGCAGUGAGGAAUUUUGCGCAAUGGGGGAAACCCUGACGCAGAAACGCCGCGUGAGUGAAGAAGGCCUUCGGGUCGUAAAGCUCUGUCAAGUGGGAAAUGAUGGUACCACUGGAGGAAGCACCGGCUAACUCCGUGCCAGCAGCCGCGGUAAUACGGAGGGUGCAAGCGUUGUUCGGAAUUAUUGGGCGUAAAGAGCGUGUAGGCGGUUUGGUAAGUCAGAUGUGAAAGCCCUGGGCUCAACCCAGGAAGUGCAUUUGAUACUGCCUCACUAGAGUAUGGGAGAGGAGAGUGGAAUUCCCAGUGUAGAGGUGAAAUUGUAGAU
rnacentral:rRNA from 1 species